UCCUUCUGAAGUAUCUGAUCACACAGAUGCAGGGUCUUUAGCUAACUGUACAGACCAAAGGACUGGUGAUGCAUGAUUAUGUAUUUGCCUCUUGACAGGAUCAUAGUGCUUAUGAUCAGGACAACUCCAAUGCUCAGGCCCUGACAAGCACUAGCAAGAUUACUUCGGUUGCUCUGUGCUGGAGAGAUCUUGCAUUUAGUCCAGAGACGGUGAAAAGGCUGCACAUCAUUGGUGAGGGAUGAAAGACAAACUGGACUGUUGGAACCCUGGAUGGAACCUUGGACUCUUGGAACCCUGCAUUAUUGGAUAUCAAAAGUGCAAUGCUGGAGCCUUGAUCUACAGGAACAGAAACAAGACUUGCCUGGCACUGAGACAUUAACUCUCAAAAAAAACCCCGAUCUAAACUGAUCAACACCCUGGAAUUCACCAGGAGCUUCCUGGAAAGGAGAAUUUUAAGAACAAGAACAGAAAAAAAGCCUGGUAAAAGCUGUAACUGGCUCUGCCUGUCUGUGCUAUGACAGCCAACAAUAUCACCUGCUGAUGAUUUACAGAUUCCUGGGAGAUGUGUUGUUGAGUCUCAAAGAACUGGAACAAGAACAACUCGCUCAAAUUGCUUCCCGUGAAACGGCAUAACGUAUCCACCCGCUUCAUACUCUCCUAAUUUAGGACACGUGUAGUCUGUAACGAUGAACUGGCCAACUGAUUAUGUUGCUGUAAAUCUCGUCCCCCACCUUACAAAACACCCCUGAUUGACCCCUUUUUCAUGAUAGCUCAGUGCAGCAUUUCCUGUCCACUUCUUGAGAGGGAGAAAAUCAGCACCAGCCACUUGCAAAAGCACUUCUCAAGAGUGAAAAAUGCAACAUUUUGUUGUUUUUAUUUCACUGGGCAGCCUUUUCAAGUUCUGUGACCCAUUUUUGCUUCCCUUUAAAUUGUGACCAGUAUUUAUUUAUUCCUCUUUGAACACAAUAACUUAAUUAAGAAACUAAUCAGCAGUGUUGAACUGAUCUUUCAACUCACCCCUGUCACUGAAGGAAAUUUAUGAAUGCAUAAUACAAGAAAGAUCCUAUUAUCUAAAAAGCUUUCUACUAAAAUCAUUUGGCAUCUAAAAAGUAAGACUUGAAAUUCUGUGCUAAAUUUAUAAUGUAAAUA